UUUUGUAUUAUAGGUUUUUGCUCAUGCACCAUGCUUGUCUGACCAUGCAGCAUGCUUGUCUGCUCAUACUCCAUGGUUCCUGAGCAGGAACUGUCAUUGCUUACUG
rnacentral:pre_miRNA from 1 species